UACAGAGGUCCCGAGCGUUGUUCGGAUUCAUUGGGCGUAAAGGGUGCGUAGGUGGCGCUGUAAGUGGGGUGUGAAAUCCCGGGGCUUAACCCCGGGACUGCAUUCCAUACUGCGGUGCUUGAGGACUGGAGAGGAGACUGGAAUUUACGGUGUAGCAGUGAAAUGCGUAGAGACUGUAAGGAAGACCAGUGGCGAAGGCGGGUCUCUGGACAGUUCCUGACACUGAGGCACGAAGGCCAGGGGAGCAAACGGG
rnacentral:rRNA from 1 species